CAGCCGCCGCGGGAAAACGGAGGGUGCAAGCGUUAAUCGGAAUUACUGGGCGUAAAGCGUGCGUAGGCGGCUUCUUAAGUCGGAUGUGAAAUCCCUGAGCUUAACUUAGGAAUUGCAUUCGAUACUGGGAAGCUAGAGUAUGGGAGAGGAUGGUAGAAUUCCAGGUGUAGCGGUGAAAUGCGUAGAGAUCUGGAGGAAUACCGAUGGCGAAGGCAGCCAUCUGGCCUAAUACUGACGCUGAGGUACGAAAGCAUGGGGAGCAAACAGGAUUAGAUACCCCGGUAGUCCCUGUCUCUUAUAC
rnacentral:rRNA from 1 species